GGUGCAAGCGUUAAUCGGAAUUACUGGGCGUAAAGCGUGCGCAGGCGGUUGUGUAAGACAGCUGUGAAAUCCCCGGGCUCAACCUGGGAACUGCAUUUGUGACUGCACAGCUGGAGUGCGGCAGAGGGGGAUGGAAUUCCGCGUGUAGCAGUGAAAUGCGUAGAUAUGCGGAGGAACACCGAUGGCGAAGGCAAUCCCCUGGGCCUGCACUGACGCUCAUGCACGAAAGCGUGGGGAGCAAACAGG
rnacentral:rRNA from 1 species